rnacentral:rRNA from 1 species
UACGAAGGGGGCUAGCGUUGUUCGGAAUCACUGGGCGUAAAGCGCACGCAGGCGGAUUGAUAAGUCGGGGGUGAAAUCCCGGGGCUCAACCUCGGAAUUGCCUUCGAUACUGUCUGUCUUGAGUCCGGGAGAGGUGAGUGGAAUUCCUAGUGUAGAGGUGAAAUUCGUAGAUAUUAGGAAGAACACCAGUGGCGAAGGCGGCUCACUGGCCCGGUACUGACGCUGAGGAGCGAAAGCGUGGGGAGCAAACAGG